rnacentral:rRNA from 1 species
UUGGAGGGCAAGUCUGGUGCCAGCAGCCGCGGUAAUUCCAGCUCCAAUAGCGUAUAUUAAAGUUGUUGCAGUUAAAAAGCUCGUAGUUGGAUUUCUGUUAAUACUUUAUAUAUAAUAUCUUGUUAUAUUUAUAUAAUAUUAACAUCAUUCAUAUUACUAUUUUUUUUAGUAUAUGAGAUUUUACUUUGAGAAAAUUAGAGUGCUUAAAGCAGGCUUUUGCCUUGAAUACUCCAGCAUGGAAUAAUAUUAAAGAUUUUUAUCUUUCUUAUUGGUUCUAAGAUAAGAAUAAUGAUUAAUAGGGACAGUUGGGGGCAUUUGUAUUUAACAGUCAGAGGUGAAAUUCUUAGAUUUGUUAAAGACAAACUAGUGCGAAAGCAUUUGCCAAGGAUGUUUUCAUUAAUCAAGAACGAAAGUUAGGGGAUCGAAGACGAUCAGAUACCGUCGUAGUCUUAACCAUAAAC